AGUGAACGCUGGCGGUAGGCCUAACACAUGCAAGUCGAACGGCAGCACAGAGGAGCUUGCUCCUUGGGUGGCGAGUGGCGGACGGGUGAGGAAUACAUCGGAAUCUACUCUGUCGUGGGGGAUAACGUAGGGAAACUUACGCUAAUACCGCAUACGACCUACGGGUGAAAGCAGGGGAUCUUCGGACCUUGCGCGAUUGAAUGAGCCGAUGUCGGAUUAGCCAGUUGGCGGGGUAAAGGCCCACCAAGGCGACGAUCCGUAGCUGGUCUGAGAGGAUGAUCAGCCACACUGGAACUGAGACACGGUCCAGACUCCUACGGGAGGCAGCAGUGGGGAAUAUUGGACAAUGGGCGCAAGCCUGAUCCAGCCAUACCGCGUGGGUGAAGAAGGCCUUCGGGUUGUAAAGCCCUUUUGUUGGGAAAGAAAUCCAGCCGGCUAAUACCUGGUUGGGAUGACGGUACCCAAAGAAUAAGCACCGGCUAACUUCGUGCCAGCAGCCGCUGUAA
rnacentral:rRNA from 1 species